rnacentral:rRNA from 1 species
UGGCGAACGGGUGAGUAACACGUGGGUGAUCUGCCCUGCACUUCGGGAUAAGCCUGGGAAACUGGGUCUAAUACUGGAUAGGAGCCAUUCUUAGUGUGAUGGUUGGAAGGUUUUUUCGGUGUAGGAUGAGCUCGCGGCCUAUCAGCUUGUUGGUGGGGUAAUGGCCUACCAAGGCGGCGACGGGUAGCCGGCCUGAGAGGGUGGACGGCCACAUUGGGACUGAGAUACGGCCCAG